UUGAGAGCUGAAGGACUAAGGGCUUCCUGAGAUCUGUGGACCACAGAAUGUUUUGCUAUCACUAACAUGCUUUGAUGACAUUCUUCAAUUCAUAUCAGAUCUCCCCAUGUUUAUUAGGAUGGUCUCAAACUCCUGGCCUCAAACGAUUCUACCGACUUGGCCUCCCGAAGGGCUGGGGUUAAAGGCAUGAGCCACCAUCUUUAGUCUAGAACAGUUUUCAAGUUCACAUGGAACAAAACUUCAGUUUUCUUUGUUUUUUUUGGUAAAUAAAAGGAUAACCAAAGCAAAACUAUAU
rnacentral:lncRNA from 1 species